GCGGGAGUAGCUCAGUUGGUAGAGCGCUAGCCUUCCAAGCUGGAUGUCGCCGGUUCGAGCCCGGUCUCCCGCUCCA
rnacentral:tRNA from 1 species